UGGGGAGAUGGCCAUUACCAAUUUUUAAAUUCGAAGAGUCAGCAUUGAGUUUGAACAAGGUAGAAGUUAGAUUUUUUGAGGAUAAAAAUUGAAGCAUACUUUUAAAAAACUGUGCAGCUGUUAAGUAGGUAUUCAAAACAUUUCCAGCAGGAAGCCCUGUUGAACUCAUAAGAAGAGCCAUUAGUACAUACCAUUCUAACAAACC